GGAGGAAUAUUGGUCGAUGGGCGAGAGCCUGAACCAGCCAAGUCGCGUGAGAGAAGACGGUCCUACGGAUUGUAAACCUCUUUUGUCGGGGAGCAAAAGGCGCCACGCGUGGUGUAUAGAGUGUACCCGAAGAAAAAGCAUCGGCUAACUCCGUACCAGCAGCCGCGGUAAUACGGAGGAUGCGAGCGUUAUCCGGAUUUAUUGGGUUUAAAGGGUGCGCAGGCGGCGCGCCAAGUCAGCGGUCAAAGUUCCGGGCUCAACCCGGUGUCGCCGUUGAAACUGGCGUGCUCGAGUGCGUGCGAGGAAGGCGGAAUGCGUUGUGUAGCGGUGAAAUGCAUAGAUAUGACGCAGAACUCCGAUUGCGAAGGCAGCUUUCCAGCGCGCUACUGACGCUGAGGCAC
rnacentral:rRNA from 1 species